rfam:Gossypium raimondii chromosome 7, whole genome shotgun sequence.
AAGCCAUGGUGAGAGCACCGUCUCAAUAGAUCCUUGUAUCUCUCCCAUGCAUCAUAUAUUGUCUAUAAGUCGAUCUGAACAAAGGAAGAUAUGUUAUUCCUCAACUU